AUGUAAAACCAACUGGCCCAUUGAUACUUCGCUCGACGCUGAACAGAAUGACAUCUCCAUACAUUAUUUAAAAACAAAUGUAGGGCUACAUUUGUUGAGUUUGAACGGCUUGUGAAAGUAGGCUACUGUUUUUUUUGUCAACUUCAGCACAACAGGAACAGGAAAAGUGCCCCUAUGCAGGCUACUUGCAAAUGUAGUCUAUGAGUGGCUUGUCUAGUUUACCCUUUGCACAGCGAGUUAUUUAAUAGUUGUUUAGCGAACUGAAACUUCACAUUUUCAUCUCAGGGAAUGCCUUUGCUUUAAACUACUUUAUUUGCUAACGUGGCAUCAAAUAGAAAGUGGUGUCGGUUGUAGUUUCUGAUUGGUGAACUUCGAGAGGUGGUGUAGCUGGUUUGGCUUGUGUACUAGAGUACUGUCAAAAGAUCUGGAGCUGUCACAUAGCCAGGCUGGUCCGAACUCUCACUAAAAUGUAAGAGGCAUACGUGUCUGUAUUGUAUUCACCUGCCCGUCCUUAAUUAAACUUCAACAUGAGUGGCGAAAAUGAAAAACCCGCCUUGGUUUAUGGCGAAAUCAACGACAAUCAAAAUGUGUUAGAUCUGGAAAAAAUUACAAUUAUGAAGUAUGCCGUUGACAGCGAGGACGUGCGCAUGGAGCACAAGAUAGGACUCCAGAACAGCGACGAUACAAACCAAACCAUCAAACUAUACAAGCGGCGAUGGCUCAUCGUGUUGCUGUUCAGCUCGUAUUCUCUCUGUAACUCGUUCCAAUGGAUCCAGUACGGAAUUAUCAACAACAUUUUCAUGAAGUUCUACGGGGUAGAUUCUUUCACUAUAGAUUGGAUGUCUAUGAUAUACAUGUUGACUUACAUUCCCUUCAUAUUCCCGGUCACCUGGUUACUGGAUAAGAAGGGGCUCCGUGUCAUUGCGCUGGUUGCUACAGCCAUGAAUUGCGCGGGGACUUGGAUCAAAGUGACCAGUGUGAGACCCGACCUGUUCGCGGUCACCAUGUUCGGACAGUUCUGCUGCUCCUUUGCGCAGGUGUUUAUCCUCGGGAUGCCGUCGAAGAUCGCCUCGGUGUGGUUCGGAUCGGAGGAGGUGUCCACCGCUUGCUCCAUCGGGGUCUUCGGAAACCAGUUGGGUAUAGCCAUUGGGUUCCUGGUCCCUCCCAUCCUGGUGCCUAACGGUGAGGACAUGGAUCAGCUGGCCUAUGACAUCAGUAUCAUGUUCUACAUCACAGCAGGAGUUGCUACGCUGCUCUUCAUACUGGUCGUCAUGGCGUUCCAGGAGCGUCCGGAGCUCCCUCCUACCCAGGCCCAGGCCACAGCUCGCUGUAUCCCUCCAGAACAGUACUCCUACACCGCCUCCAUCCUCAGGCUGCUCCGAAACAAACCCUUCCUCCUCCUCAUUCUCACAUACGGACUGAACGUGGGCUGCUUUUAUGCUGUGGGCACGCUACUGAACCGCAUGAUCAUCGAACACUACCCUGGUGAAGAGUUGAAUGCAGGGAGGAUAGGUCUCACCAUCGUUAUCGCUGGCAUGGUGGGAUCACUGAUCUGUGGCAUCUGGCUGGACAGAACCAAAACAUACAAACAGACUACCCUGACGGUCUACCUCAUGUCCUUCGUAGGGAUGUUGGUCUAUGCCUUCACCCUCAGUCUGGGACAUCUCUGGGUAGUCUUCCUCACCGCUGGAGCUCUGGGGUUCUUCAUGACAGGCUACCUGCCCCUGGGCUUUGAGUUUGGAGUGGAGCUGACCUACCCCGAGUGUGAAGGCACCUCUUCAGGCCUGCUCAACUGCUCUGCACAGGUGUUUGGUAUCAUGUUCACUAUCUGCCAGGGGAAGAUCAUAGAUAACUACGGGACGCUGGCAGGAAACAUCUUCCUCUGCGUCUUCCUCUUCAUCGGAUCGGUCCUCACAGGCUUCAUCAAGUCAGACCUGCAGAGACAGAAGGCCAACCAGUUAGCCAAGGCAGCUGCGGACGGAGAGCUCUCUGGUCAGCAGCAGGACUACGGGGCCACGGCUCUAAUCAACAAGCCAGACUGCCCUUCUGCUUCUCUUCAGGCUUGAUCACUAACCCAUAUACCCUAUAACCCCUACACUCUUAGCUCGAACCUCAGACGGGCCAAGGUCCCGGCAGACCCAGAGGAUGGGAACAUCUCUGCCCCUGCAGUCCUCGACGAAACCAGGUUUUAGAGACGGACGAUCUGCUGGACACUCUCACACACACACACACACACACACACACAAUAAAUCACUCGUUUAUGACCACUUCCCUUUAACACUGUCCAAUAAGGCUGCAUUAACACUGGCAGCCCAAUUCGGAUCUUUUCUUUCACUAAUUGGUCUUUUGACCAAUCAGAUCAGCUCUGAAAAAGAUCUGACGUGAUUGGUCAAAAUACCAAUUACUGGAAAAAAGAUCAGAUUUGGGCUGCCUGUGGAAACGCUGCCUAAGAGUCUUCCACUAUUUAUGCCUAAUUGUGCAAAUACCAUUUCUUUAUUAUUUAUAGAGAAAUGUGUGUAUGUGUUAUGGUCGCACGCACACAGUGCCUUGGCUUAAAAUAUUCAGACCCCUUUGUCCACAUUUUAUUGCGUUACAGCCUGCGUUUAAAAUUGAUUACAUUUAGAAUUUUGGUCAUAAUGUCAAAGUUGAAAUACAGUACCAGUCAAAAGUUUGGACAUUCAAAGGUUUUUCUUUUAUUUU